GACGAACGCUGGCGGCGUGCUUAACACAUGCAAGUCGAACGGAAAGGCCCUGCUUUUGUGGGGUUCUCGAGUGGCGAACGGGUGAGUAACACGUGAGUAACCUGCCCUUGACUUUGGGAUAACUUCAGGAAACUGGGGCUAAUACCGGCUAGGAGCUCCUGCUGCAUGGUGGGGGUUGGAAAGUUUCGGCGGUUGGGGAUGGACUCGCGGCUUAUCAGCUUGUUGGUGGGGUAGUGGCUUACCACGGCUUUGACGGGUAGCCGGCCUGAGAGGGUGACCGGCCACAUUGGGACUGAGAUACGGCCCAGACUCCUACGGGAGGCAGCAGUGGGGAAUAUUGCACAAUGGGCGGAAGCCUGAUGCAGCAACGCCGCGUGCGGGAUGACGGCCUUCGGGUUGUAAACCGCUUUCGCCUGUGACGAAGCGUGAGUGACGGUAAUGGGUAAAGAAGCACCGGCUAACUACGUG
rnacentral:rRNA from 1 species